rnacentral:rRNA from 1 species
CUGACGGGAGCGUUACUGACGCUUAAGCUCGAAAGCGCGGGUAUCGAACAGGAUUAGAUACCCUGGUAGUCCGCGCGGUAAACGAUGGAUGCCCGCUGUUUGCGUCUAACGUAAGCGGCCAAGUGAAAACGUUAAGCAUCCCACCUGGGGAGUACGCCGGCAACGGUGAAACUCAAAGGAAUUGACGGGGGCCCGCACAAGCGGAGGAACAUGUGGUUUAAUUCGAUGAUACGCGAGGAACCUUACCCGGGCUUGAAUUGCUGAGGAAAGAUCCAGAGAUGGUGAUGCCCUUCGGGGCCUCAGUGAAGGUGCUGCAUGGUUGUCGUCAGCUCGUGCCGUGAGGUGUCGGCUUAAGUGCCAUAACGAGCGCAACCCCUCUCUUCAGUUUCCAUCAGGCUAUGCUGGGCACUCUGGAGACACUGCCACCGCAAGGUGUGAGGAAGGUGGGGAUGACGUCAAAUCAGCACGGCCUUGACGGCCGGGGCUACACACGUGUUACAAUGGGGGGCACAGAGAGCGGGGUGCGCGCAAGCUUGCCCAAAUCCUUAAAUCCCCCCACAGUUCGGACUGGGGUCUGCAACCCGACCCCACGAAGCUGGAU